rnacentral:rRNA from 1 species
CCUACGGGGGGCAGCAGUGGGGAAUAUUGCACAAUGGGGGAAACCCUGAUGCAGCGACGCCGCGUGAGUGAAGAAGUAUUUCGGUAUGUAAAGCUCUAUCAGCAGGGAAGAAAAUGACGGUACCUGAUUAAGAAGCCCCGGCUAACUACGUGCCAGCAGCCGCGGUAAUACGUAGGGGGCAAGCGUUAUCCGGAUUUACUGGGUGUAAAGGGAGCGUAGACGGCAGCACAAGUCUGGAGGGAAAUGCCGGGGCUUAAACCCGGAACUGCUUUGGAAACUGUGCAGCUAGAGUGCAGGAGAGGUAAGUGGAAUUCCUGGUGUAGCGGUGAAAUGCGUAGAUAUUAGGAGGAACACUAGUGGCGAAGGCGGCUUACUGGACUGUAACUGACGUUGAGGCACGAAAGCGUGGGGAGCGAACAGGAUUAGAUACCCGAGUAGUC